GGGCCCGCACAAGCGGAGGAACAUGUGGUUUAAUUCGAUGAUACGCGAGGAACCUUACCCGGGCUUGAAAGUUAGCGACGAACCCUGAAAGGGGUUUUCUCUUCGGAGCGCGAAACUAGGUGCUGCAUGGUUGUCGUCAGCUCGUGCCGUGAGGUGUCGGAUUAAGUUCCAUAACGAGCGCAACCCCUAUCGAUAGUUGCCAGCAUGUAAUGAUGGGGACUCUAUCGAGACUGCCGGUGUAAACCGUGAGGAAGGUGGGGAUGACGUCAAAUCAGCACGGCCCUUACGUCCGGGGCGACACACGUGUUACAAUGGUCGGUACAGAGGGUCGCUACCUGGUGACAGGAUGCCAAUCUCUAAAGCCGAUCUCAGUUCGGAUCGGAGGCUGAACUCGCCUCCGUGAAGUUGGAUUCGCUAGUAAUCGCGCAUCAGCCAUGGCG
rnacentral:rRNA from 1 species